AGUCGAAGCCGAGACGUCGAGGUGCGAGGUUCCUCCUGGCGUGCGGCCCGAGGACGAGUCCAGGGCGUCGAGAGCACGUGUGACUUGGAGGUCCGCGGGUGUCGAAGGAGUCGAGGAAUGAGCCGCCGGCUGCCGCCAUGUCUCCCGCCUGGGCGCUCCUGUGCUACUCGCUGGCGCUGCUGAUCCUGUCCCCAGUGGUGCUGCUGCUGGUGCUGCUGCUGCCCCGCCAGCUGCCCCAGCUGCCCCUGCUGGUGGCCAGCCGCCUGUCCUUCAUCCCCAUGGAGUCGCUGUGACGGCCGCCAGGUAGCUCCCGUGCAGCGUCUUCAUUUCCUUCUGGGGGUUGUCUGUACAGUCGGUUUACCCACGAUCAUCUUACGUGAUGUCAUAAGAAAACAUUGAUUAAAUAUUGCAUACCUACUCCUUUUAAUUUUUCAAAUAUUAUUUUACAGUAUUUUUUUUUUCAAAAUUUAUUUUUAAUAUUUUUGUUUAAAUAUAAUCACGAACCAUAGGUUUUAUUUUUUAAAAAAAAACUCCUUAACCUGUUUGAUAUUAUAGAAGAUUUUCUCGCACGGUGGUUGGCCGGUUCUUGCACGCUCGGCUCAGGCGGAACGUGACAAUUUUGUCGUGCAUGCAGCCGGCGUUCAUCGAUUUAUAAGUAGGGACCGGAAAAAUUCGCGGAUUCAAUGACCUCUAGGAUAGCCUCCAUUAUCCUCUGCAUUUCUCAAGUAAACACGCGUGUUCAUUGGGUACUAAAUUGUGAGGCGUCUCCACUGGGUAGCUUGUGAUUCGACGCUUCUUUGGUCGAUAGUCUCUCAUUGGCCCAGAGAGCUCCAGUUAAACUGCGAGCCAAUAGCAGAACCAGCAUAAUUGUACACAUGUUUGAAUUUCAGCCUAUCACGAAAUGAAUCCGCGAAAUUUUCCGGUCUCUACCUCUCAAUUAUAAAUACUCCAUAAUAGGAAGCGAUACUGAUAUUGACCCCCCAGUCUUAAAGUGCAUAUUUAAAUUAAAUAUUUCCUAACAAAAGUAAAUACAAGAAAGUAAACUGUGUGGAUGCUUUCAGACGUGCGAAUAAAUAAUAACAUUGCGAUGAUAAAUGUAAGUAAAAAUUAUUAUUAUAAGCUCUUAACAUCACAACAAAAUAAUAAUGAAACAUUAUAUUUGGAAACCUCUCCAUUUUAUAUUACAAUAAAAAAAUAAUAAUAUAACUAUCGUAAGAGUCGCUUGCCUCUGGUUUUAGUUUGUGGUUCUGGCGCGCGAUGCGGCAGUUUUCUCUUGCGAUGGCUUCCCAUCGGGCGUCCUUGGAAGAGGUGUGGGCAGAGCCUCAGCUCGUGUGAGGCAGGGAGUGGCUUCUGGCCGCCUGCGUGUGGACGGCUUCCCCGUCUCGGCAACCUUUCAUCCAGGGGAAGCCUUAUUUCACAGACGAGAGAGAGCCAAACGCCCUAUCGUGCAUCUUCGGGUGUUUUUUUUUUGUUCAUUGUAAAAGGUUAGGUUAGCUACAUUAUUAAUACUUUAAAACAUUGUGGACGGUUGAUUUGGUUAGGAUAGCUACAUUAGAUAUACUGUUAAAUCAUGUAAACGGUUUCCUAGCCCUGGAUAGCUACAUAUCAAAAAGUCAUUUGCUAAGCAAAAAUAAAAUGAUUUUACGGUAUUUUUAAUGUAGCUAUACUUACCAAACAUAACUAACCAUCCACAAUGUUUUAAAGUAGUUAUAAUGUAGCUAACCUAUCCUAAUCGACCGCAAAAUGUAAUGCCACACCGGUUUAUACAAUGAGAUAGAACGGACAAAAAGAAGCGAGCAUGAACUUCGGGGAACGUCGGGUGUGGCUCUCUCGUCUGUGAAAUGAAGGCUUCCCUUCAUCCAGGGCGCUGGUCUGUAGUAUCAGACAGGGGGUGAGCCGCCCCGAGUAUAAGUAUAGGGUGCUUGCAUGUUGUAUACUGCCCCUUUUUUAGCCUAUAUGCAUGCGACAAGCAGAAAACUUUCAAACGUACAGAACAUUUUUUUUCCCAUGAAACAUAGUCACAGUCACGCUUGCUCCUCAGACAGAAGCUUCUUAAUGCAGGGGAGGAGGGGGGAUGAGCCAUCUACCCCCUCUCCCCCACCCCUGGGCCGGGAUCCACGCCAAUGCUUGCAUGCGUCCAAUCAGACAACUGCACACAGCGGACUGGUUUGUCGUCCGGCGACCUUCUCCCGCUCGGUCGACGCCGGUGCACAGCGUCGUACGUACGUAACUCACGUGAUGGCGCGAAUUUCAAAAACGGAGUUGCCUGUUUCGAUUUUUGACGUGAAGCGUCUUUAAAAUCGCACCGAAUCAUACAUACGGGUCCCAAGACAGAAAUUUGUACCGUUGACGAGAAGGUCUGCAUCGUCUUGUCG